rnacentral:misc_RNA from 1 species
CCAAUAGCGUAUAUUAAAGUUGUUGCAGUUAAAAAGCUCGUAGUUGAAUUUCGGAGUUUGUCGGUUAGUCGGGCUUCACUGUCCGCACUGGCCUGAUGGAUUCCUACCUUCUGAACAACCAGCAUGCUAUUAAGUUAGUGCGUUGGGGAAGCAGAGCUAUUACCUUGAAAAAAUUAGAGUGCUUAAAGCAGGCUUAUGCUUGAAUAGAUUAGCAUGGAAUAAUAAAAUAGGACGGCAUGGUUCUAUUUUGUUGGUUUCUAGGAUCACCGUAAUGAUUAAUAGGGAUAGUUGGGGGCAUUAGUAUUCAAUUGUCAGAGGUGAAAUUCUUGGAUUUAUUGAAGACUAACUUCUGCGAAAGCAUUUGCCAAGGAUGUUUUCAUUAAUCAAGAACGAAAGUUAGGGGAUCGAAGACGAUCAGAUACCGUCGUAGUCUUAACCAUAAACUAUGCCGACUAGGGAUCGGACGAUGUUAAUUUUUUAAUGACUCGUUCGGCGCCUUACG